GUGGGGGUGUGCGGCGGUGGCGUGCAGGCGGCCAGCGGUCUCGUUCGGCGGCAGAGCACGGGUCGCAGAUCCGGAUGCAUCACUUGCACAUGUAAUUUCAUCCCAUCUCUCUCUAUUUUCCUCGCGUGUGCAUUCUAAUCCACCCUUCAUUUUUGUGUGCUAGCAUACAUUAACAACGAGGGCUUCUAGAAAGGGAGGAGGUCAACAACCAUGGUGGCUGAGCAGAUCUCCACACCGCCUGCCCUUACGAAGGGGUGAGGGCCUCUCCUCUUCUUACCUUGACUCUGUUUUGCACUCCUUUCUAGAGCCCCCAUGGAUGCUCUCCAAUCUCCGUCAUCGAGGUGAGGGGGCUAGGGAUUUAGUGGUGCAUCGUGGUUCUGGUUUUUGCAUUUGUGAAAUUAUUUCAGUGGUUCAUGAAUCAUUACUUCUAGCUUUGGUGUUGUUUAUGGAGAUCUAAGCACAUCACCUUUCUAUGCUUAUAAAAGUAUAUUCUCUGAAAGGCUCUGUCAAUAUCAUAAUGAAGAAAUUGUGAUCAGUAUAUUUUCCUUUCAUAUUUUUUUAGACAUUCACACUUAUUAGAGUGCUUCACAUCUUGCAAGUGCAUCCUAUAUGAUUCAGAUUGCUAUACAUAUCAAUCAUUGGAGAAAUGGUUACUUAUUUGCAUAGGUGAUCUGUUAAUCAAUCGAGCUUUGCUUGUUUUGAUCUGCUACUGUCAAACUGUUGAAUUGAAUCAGAAAAUAAACUGGCAUGAUGGAGUUGAACCUGUAGAAUACCAAGGAUGCUGGGCGCCACACUUAUCCAUGGCCAGCUGCAUCAUCAUCAUCGACGGGCUCGUGGUUUGGCCGGGGAGCGGGUCCUGAUCAACGCCUGGCCAUCUGCCUGGAAGGGGCAACACUGUUAAUUUGGAUUUCAGGUCAUUAAGGGAAGCAAAUGUGCAGUCAUUAUUGGUGAAUUGCUUGUGAUGUAGUGCAAAUGCACAAACAUCAUAUCAUAGUCUCCAGAUUAGAAUUAAUUGCUUGCAAGAUCCGAAUUAGUAUGAUCAUUGCAUUUGCAGCUCAUAUGGUUGUGUCCAGAGAAUACAAAUACUUCAAAUUGUAAUGGAUAAGUAAACCAGAUUAGGUUGCUUUUGUACAGAACUAUGACACAAAAUAGCUUGAAGUAUAUAUAAGGCUGCCAAAGAAUUUGUGAGA